AGGUCAUGAACCUAGACAACAUUUAAAGAUCAUGAACCUGACACAACCUAACUAACUGAAAGUUUGAGAGGUACAGAUUUAUUUAUCUUUUUCUUUUAAUACAGUCUUCGCUGCGGACGAAAACAGUUUUCAGGCCAGAGAGCCCCAGUGUGACAACUACGAUGCAACAAUGUGCUCCAAGGCGUUAGAUCCUGUGUGUGGGAGUGAUGGACUCACCUACAACACCAAGUGUAUCCUCUGUCAAAACAACAUGGUCAAGAACCUGCACGUCAUGGUGGUGCACAUUGGGAAGUGUAAGGUCUAGCCAUCCAACCAGUCUGCCUGACAGGAAACUUAUCUGAGAGGAUGGUCUCCAGACUGACCACCCAAGGAUCACAGCCAUGGUUGGCUAUUAUACAUGUAGUACAAAACUGUAAUAAAGAUAUACAGCUUCC